GACGAACGCUGGCGGCGUGCCUAAUACAUGCAAGUCGAGCGAAUUGACGAAGAAAGCUUGCUUUCUUCUGAUGUUAGCGGCGGACGGGUGAGUAACACGUGGGCAACCUGCCCUUUAGUUUGGGAUAACUUCGGGAAACCGGAGCUAAUACCGAAUAAUACUCCAAGCCUCAUGGUUUGAAGUUGAAAGACGGUUUCGGCUGUCGCUAAAGGAUGGGCCCGCGGUGCAUUAGCUAGUUGGUGAGGUAACGGCUCACCAAGGCAACGAUGCAUAGCCGACCUGAGAGGGUGAUCGGCCACACUGGGACUGAGACACGGCCCAGACUCCUACGGGAGGCAG
rnacentral:rRNA from 1 species